UACGUAGGGUGCAAGCGUUAAUCGGAAUUACUGGGCGUAAAGCGUGCGCAGGCGGUGAUGUAAGACAGUUGUGAAAUCCCCGGGCUCAACCUGGGAACUGCAUCUGUGACUGCAUCGCUGGAGUGCGGCAGAGGGGGAUGGAAUUCCGCGUGUAGCAGUGAAAUGCGUAGAUAUGCGGAGGAACACCGAUGGCGAAGGUAAUCCCCUGGGCCUGCACUGACGCUCAUGCACGGAAGCGUGGGGAGCAAACAGG
rnacentral:rRNA from 1 species